rnacentral:rRNA from 1 species
CCUACGGGCGGCAGCAGUGGGGAAUAUUGGGCAAUGGGCGCAAGCCUGACCCAGCAACGCCGCGUGAAGGAAGAAGGCUUUCGGGUUGUAAACUUCUUUUGUCAGGGACGAAGCAAGUGACGGUACCUGACGAAUAAGCCACGGCUAACUACGUGCCAGCAUCCGCGGGAAUACGUAGGUGGCAAGCGUUAUCCGGAUUUACUGGGUGUAAAGGGCGUGUAGGCGGGACUGCAAGUCAGAUGUGAAAACCACGGGCCCAACCUGUGGCCUGCAUUUGAAACUGUAGUUCUUGAGUACUGGAGAGGCAGACGGAAGUCCUAGUGUAGCGGUGAAAUGCGGAGAUAUUAGGAGGAACACCAGUGGCGAAGGCGGUCUGCUGGACAGCAACUGACGCUGAGGCGCGAAAGCGUGGGGAGCAAACAGGAUUAGAUACCCCUGUAGUC